rnacentral:rRNA from 1 species
AUGAGCAAAAGAAAUUGGACAGGGAAUCCCUGUUGCUCUUUCUGCAAACAGGUGGAAACAGUGAAGCACUUGUUCUUUACUUGUCCCGUGGCCAGAAUUGUUUGGCGAUCCAUUGGAGUAGCUCUUGGCACCGAUAGAUGCCCGUCGGACUACUGGCAAUAUUUUGUGUGGUGCCACAAAUUCCUUCCUGGGAAGCAAAAGUUUCAUACGGUGAGCCUAGCGGCCGUAUGUUGGGCCAUUUGGUUGGCACGCAAUCGAGCUACUUUUGAAAAGAAACAAAUUAAGACUCCUUUUAAGAUUGUGUUUUCUCUAUGUUCCUUUCUAUUAUAUCGGACAGGGCUUCAACAAGGAGAGGACGCCAAGGAUCUUCGCGAUGGAGCUGAGAUGAUCAGGACUGUGACGAUGCAGCUGAUGAAGAUGUGUGGUGCUGUCAAGAAACCAAUCCAAGGUGCCUGA